rnacentral:rRNA from 1 species
UUUCUGCCACCGAAUACAUUAGCAUGGGAUAAUGGAAUAGGACCCUGUCCUCCUAUUUUCAGUUGGUUUUGGCAGCGCGAGGACUAGGGUAAUGAUUAAUAGGGAUAGUUGGGGGCAUUAAUAUUUAAUUGUCAGAGGUGAAAUUCUUGGAUUUAUGAAAGAUUAACUUCUGCGAAAGCAUCUGCCAAGGAUGUUUUCAUUAAUCAAGAACGAAAGUUAGGGGAUCGAAGACGAUCAGAUACCGUCGUAGUCUUAACCAUAAACGAUGCCGACCAGCGAUUAGGAGACGUUGAAUACAAAACACCACCAUCGGCGCGGUCGUCCUUGGCGUCUGUCCCUUUCAACGGGGGCAGGCGCGAGGGCGGUUUAGCCCGGUGGCACCGGUGAAUGACUCCCCUAG